CCGGGGGGCGUCGCUGCUUGGUGCAGCUGCGACUGGGAGCGGCCGGGGCGCGUGAGGGGACCCGUCUUUGCCCGCGCGGUCGGCCGUUGGCCAUGGCCAACCCCAGUUGACGGGCACGGAUCCACCUCCACGACGCCGAGGUCACCGCGCUCCCCCCGCCGCCACCCUUCUUGGUGAAGCAACGGCAAGCAGCAAAGGUUCCACCCAUAAGCCACAGUUCAUCAGAGUGCUUCCAAAAGAUUUCAUGGAAAAGAUGCUGAUACCUGCUAAGUUUGUGCAAUAGCAUAUCCCCAUGGAGCUACUUGAUAAUCGUACGGCCAUCGUUUUUGGCCCCUCUGGCAAAGGUUACAGCAUUAAACUUGAAAUGGGUUGGACGGGCGUGUUCUUUGCAGUUGGUUGGUCACAGUUUCUCAAGUUUCAUGACAUUACUGAAGCUAAUGCUCUGUUGCUACGGUAUGAGGGAAACAUGGUGUUUACACUCAAAGCGUAUGGGCCAAAUGGAUACCAGAGAGAGUUCAACCAAAGGAAAACAGAGGUCGACAAAUACCAACAUUGCCAGAUAUUGAAGAGCAGCAGGAAGCACCAUCUGCUUCCAUUCAGAAGCAGCAAGAAGCACCAUCUGCUUCCAUUCAGAAGCAGUAUAACAACAAUUUGCCAAGCAGUAAUGGAGAAAAGGAACAACAAAGCCUCACAGCAUCUUGGAACCAGACAUCAUUCAAGAUCGCGCCACCAUCAUCGAUAGAGAAGCAGAUUGAUGCCAACACACUUAAAAAUCAUAUUGUUUUGCCAGAAGCAUUCUGUGAUGGUAUUGGGUUGCGGGAACGCUGUGCGAUUACACUCAAGACCUUAAGGAAUGGUAGUGAAUCUUGGCAGGUACAUAGUCUCCCAUGCAAGAAUAACAGCUACCAGCUCAAGAAGGGUUCGUUGCUUAGUCCUGCUCUCUCCAUUUUUUUUCUGCCAGGGAAAAAUGAUUCAUUAAAUUUUAACUAGGUAAAACAUCACCAUCUGUGCGUACAACGUGCUGCAUACAAGAUUAACUUCAUGCUUACCAAGAGUAGUAAGGUACAUUGCACAUUAGAGUGUGAAAGGAACAAAGGAUACGGGGCAGUCAUUCUCUAUGCUUCAGAAUCCUAAAGUUCAUGAAGGGGAGGAACCCAAAGUACCAAAACGACCAUCACAUGGCCAGUACCAAAACGACCAUCACAUGGCCAAUACCAAAACGACCAUCACAGGACCAUGCAUCUCACCACAAGCAUUCAAGUCAAAUUUAAUCAUUCUGAAGCUACAAAGAGUAUUCGCCUAGCAUGCUGCAUUUCAAUGCUCCUGAUUCCGACCUCUUACAAUCUGUUCUCUCAUGAAAAUCUACUGGUUCAGGUUCGCUCGACGCUGAACCUGCAAUGCGAAUUAUCUAAUCAUGCUGAUGAUACAAUUAUGAAUAGGUCGGAUACAAAUAUGUGCAUGUGUAACUGAAGGGUUUAAGAGGCACACCAUCAUGAAAGAAAAACGAAGUGGAUCAGGGAGGCAA